AUUGAACGCUGGCGGCAGGCUUAACACAUGCAAGUCGAGCGGAGAUGAGGUGCUUGCACCUUAUCUUAGCGGCGGACGGGUGAGUAAUGCUUAGGAAUCUGCCUAUUAGCGGGGGACAACAUUCCGAAAGGAAUGCUAAUACCGCAUACGUCCUACGGGAGAAAGCAGGGGAUCUUCGGACCUUGCGCUAAUAGAUGAGCCUAAGUCGGAUUAGUUAGUUGGUGGGGUAAAGGCCUACCAAGGCGACGAUCUGUAGCGGGUCUGAGAGGAUGAUCCGCCACACUGGGACUGAGACACGGCCCAGACUCCUACGGGAGGCAGCAGUGGGGAAUAUUGGACAAUGGGGGGAACCCUGAUCCAGCCAUGCCGCGUGUGUGAAGAAGGCCUUAUGGUUGUAAAGCACUUUAAGCGAGGAGGAGGCUACUGAGACUAAUACUCUUGGAUAGUGGACGUUACUCGCAGAAUAAGCACCGGCUAACUUUGUGCCAGCCGCCGCUGUAA
rnacentral:rRNA from 1 species